CGGCCGCGUCGACAGAACGCUGAAGAGAGGAGCUUGCUCUUCUUGGAUGAGUUGCGAACGGGUGAGUAACGCGUAGGUAACCUGCCUUGUAGCGGGGGAUAACUAUUGGAAACGAUAGCUAAUACCGCAUAACAAUGGAUGACACAUGUCAUUUAUUUGAAAGGGGCAAUUGUUCCACUACAAGAUGGACCUGCGUUGUAUUAGCUAGUAGGUGAGGUAAUGGCUCACCUAGGCUACGAUCCGUAACUGGUCUGAGAGGAUGAUCAGUCACACUGGAACUGAGACACGGUCCAGACUCCUACGGGAGGCAGCAGUGGGGAAUAUUGGACAAUGGGCGAAAGCCUGAUCCAGC
rnacentral:rRNA from 1 species